CGCCCGCGCCUCGUGCAGGCCCCGCCCGCUCGCCGCACGGCGGCCGCCACCGCCGGUGCUGGUGCCUGUCCCUGUCCCUCCGCCAGUCCCUGCUUGCUUGUGCCGAACGGUCGCGAUGGUGUUCCGGUGCCAGCGGGACAGCUGGGCCCGGCAGUUCACCACCAGGGUGGUGUCGUGCCGGGCGGCCGAGCUGCGGCCCGAGGGUGGCGGGGAGCCGGUGCGCGGCUUCCAGGUGGUGCUGGAGGACACCAUCCUCUUCCCCGAGGGCGGCGGGCAGCCGGACGAUCGCGGCCUCAUCGGGGACGUGCCGGUGCUGCGCGUGACACGGCGGGGCCCCGAGGCCGUGCAUUUCGUGCCGGCCGCGCUGGAACCGGGCGCUGAAGUGCUGCUGUCGCUGGACUGGGAGCGCCGCUUCGACCACAUGCAGCAGCAUUCAGGACAGCAUCUCAUCAGUGCUGUUGCAGAACAGAUGUUUGGAUUCAAGACGACUUCAUGGGAGCUGGGCCGUCAGCGCAGUGUCAUUGAGCUGGACACCCCCUCGGUGACAGCAGAGCAGGUGCAGGCCCUGGAGGAGAGCGUGAACGAGAAAAUCCGGGACAGGGUCCCUGUAACAGUGAGGGAACUGGCUGCAGAUGACCCUGAAGUUGAAACAGUGAGGAGCCGGGGGCUGCCCGAUGACCACGCGGGGCCAGUGCGAGUGGUGGACAUCAAAGGCAUCGACUCCAACCUGUGCUGUGGGACUCACGUCUCCAACCUGAGUGACCUCCAGGUUAUUAAACUCCUUGGUGUGGAAAAAGGGAAAAAGAACAAAACCAACUUGGUUUUCUUGGUGGGAAACAGAGUGCUGAAGUCAAUCGAACAAAGUCACAGUACUGAGAAGGCUCUAACCUCCCUGCUCAAAAAUGGACCAGGUGAGCACAUAGAGGCUGUGAAGAGACUGCAGAGCUCUGUCAAGCUGCUCCAGAAGAAUAACCUGAACCUGCUUAGAGACAUUGCUGUUUUGAUAGCCCGGGACUUCAAGAGCAAACCUGCUCCAAAGCAGCUGUUUGUAUUGCACAGGAAAGAGGGUGAUUCUGAAUUUAUGAACAUCAUUGCUAAUGAGAUUGGGACAGAGUGUCUGUCAUCUUCUUGGAUGAGGAGAGCACUGAUUUAUCUGGAGCAAGGCCCAUCUCUGUCCACAGGAAACCCUGCUAUUCCUGACUGUGGGAGAUGAAAAAGAAGCAGGACUCUUCCUUCUAGCUGGACCUGUUGAAGCAGUUGAAAAUUUAGGUCCCAGGGUGGCAGAACUGCUGGGUGGGAAAGGAGCUGGGAAGCGCGGCCGCUUCCAGGGCAAGGCAGCCAAGAUGAGCCGGCGAGGAGAAGUGCAAGCUCUGCUCCAGGAAUUCAUUAGCCAUCAAAACCCAGGAGCAUAAGAAACAAUUCUCUAAGUAGAAUUUGGUUUGUCUUAUAUUUGUUUGCAUAGGCUCCACUAGCUUCUCUACCAGAGAAUAAAGACCUGAACCCAA